AUGGACAUGAGGGCCCCGGCUCAGCUCCUCAGCCUCCUGCUGCUCUGGCUUCCAGGGUCCAGGGGUGACAUCCAGUUGACCCAGUCUCCACCCUUCGUGUCUGCAUCUCCUGGAGACAGAGUCACCAUCUCCUGCCGGGCCAGUCAGGACAUCAGCAAGUAUUUAGCCUGGCACCAGCAGAGACCUGGGCAGGCUCCCAUGCGCAUCAUCUAUGAUGCAUCCAGCAGGCCCGAUAGCGUCCCAGCCCGCUUCAGCGGCAGCGGGUCCGGGACAGACUUCACGCUCACCAUCAGCAGCCUGGAGCCUGAGGAUGCCGCCACUUACUACUGUCAGCAGGGUAAAAGUACCCCUCCCACAGUGAUAUAG